GGAAACUGUAAGUCUUGACUCUACAGAACUUUUUGUCUCAUUGAUAAUGUUGCUCCUUAUCCACAUGAUAUUUUCCCUUUGUAAGGGUAAUGUAGAUGCUGAAGUGAUAACAUCAUUCUACACAAAGCAGCAUGUUUUAGCAGGAAGAGAUGUUACACUUUCCUGCAACUACAGUGGUAAUGUUCGCAGUCUGCAGUGGUACCGUCAGCAUCCCGGAUCCAAACCUGAAAAUAUAAUUUAUUACACUGAGAGCAGCAGUCAGUCAGAGCCCAAGCUUCGUCUGGAUGCUGUGGCCGAUAAAGGAAGCAAACUUAUGAAUCUGAGCAUAUCUUCUACACAAAUGGAUGAUUCUGCUCUGUACUACUGUGCUCUGCAGCCCACAGUGACGGGAAACACAACUGCACUGUACAAAAACAGACGGUGAAUCUAAUGGAAAUGUCAUCAGACCAAACCAGCCGUCUGUAGUUUUAGCUGAAGGAAGCAGCACCACUCUGUCCUGUUCAUAUGAUGGAUCAGCUUACAGUCUUCACUGGUAUCGACAGAAGCCUGGAUCAAAACCAGAGUUUCUGCUGCUGAUUGUUGAGUCUUCCAAGUAUGUCACCAAAGCUGACCAACCUCAUCCACAUAUGUCCAUCAGACUCCAUGAUAAUAAAAGUGUGGAUCUGGAGAUCUCCUCUGCUGCUGUAUCAGACUCUGCAGUGUAUUACUGUGCUCUGGAGCCCAUAGUGACAGAAGAAACCCUCUACACUUUACAAAAACUUGUUUCUUGCAUAUUGUAUAACAAUCAUAUAUUUAGGCCUUCCCUCAUGCAGUGUCUUAUUUUUGUUCCUCCUUCCUGUCCUUACAAGGUGGUCUUUCCCUGAGAACUACUGUAGCCUACCAUUUUAGCAAAUGUUUUGCACCGUUUACUUAUUUAUUGGUCAUUUAAGGCCACUUUUACAAGACAAAACAAACUGUAAUUUACAAUAAAUCAAGUUACGUGAACCAGUACACCAUAGUAUGAAC
ensembl:lncRNA